rnacentral:tRNA from 1 species
ACUAUUUUGGCAGAGAAAAUGUAGUGAUUUUAGAAUUCAUAAAUAUAUAAUAAAUUUUUAUAUAGGUAGUA